rnacentral:SRP_RNA from 1 species
GCCAUGCCCGGUGGUUUGUGCCUGUAGUCCCAACUACACAGGAGGCUGAGGUGGGAGAAUCACUUGAGCCCAGGAGUUCUGGGCUGUAGUGCCCUAUGCCUAUUGGAUGUCCACUCUAAUUUCGGCAACAAUAUGGUGACCUCCCAGGAGCGGAGGACCACCAGGUUGCCUAAUGAGGAGUGAACUGGCCCAGGUCAGAAAUGGAGCAGAUCAAAACUCCCGUGCUGAUCAGCAGUGGGAUGUGGAAUGGUGCCUGUGAAUAGCCACUGAACUACAGCCUGGGCAACAUAGAAAGACCCUGUCUCA